rnacentral:misc_RNA from 1 species
GGAAAUUGUGAGACUUGAGGAGGAUGAAUUGGAGUUUGAUAUGAUUGGUAUUGAUCCUUCUCUUGCCAAUGCAUUUCGCAGAAUCCUUAUUGCUGAGCUUCCAACCAUGGCUAUUGAAAAAGUUCUUAUUGCAAACAAUACAUCCAUCAUCCAAGAUGAAGUGCUUGCUCAUAGGCUUGGUCUCAUCCCAAUUAAAGUCGAUCCAAGGCUGUUUGAGUAUAUGUCAGAAAAUGAUGUCCCUAAUGAAAAGAAUACAAUUGUUUUCAAACUCCAUGUCCGUUGUACAAAAGGCAGUGAUCGACUUAGAGUCUUAUCUAGUGAGCUGAAGUGGUUACCAAAUGGCAGUGAAUUGAU